rnacentral:rRNA from 1 species
GAUGAACGCUGGCGGCGUGCCUAAUACAUGCAAGUCGAACGGAGAGGAGCAAUCCUCUUAGUGGCGAACGGGUGAGUAACGCGUUGGUGACCUGCCCCGGAAUGUGGGAUACCAGGCCGAAAGGCUUGCUAAUACCGCAUAGGCUGGAGAGACUUAGAACCUCUUCAGUAAAGGCGAAAGUCGUUUCGGGCGGGGCCUGCGACCCAUCAGCUAGUUGGUAAGGUAACGGCCUACCAAGGCGAUGACGGGUAGGGGACCUGAGAGGGUGGCCCCCCACAAUGGAACUGAAACACGGUCCAUACACCUACGGGUGGCAGCAGUAGGGAAUAUUGCUUAAUGGGCGCAAGCCUGAAGCAGCAACGCCGCGUGUGCGAUGAAGGCCUUCGGGUUGUAAAGCGCUUUUAGCAGGGAAAAGGAAGGAUGGUACCUGCUGAAUAAGCCUCGGCUAACUACGUGCCAGCAGCCGCGGUAAAACGUAGGAGGCGAGCGUUAUCCGGAUU